GCCACAUCCUCACCAACCACUUUGCGCUGAAAUUCAACUGGCUUGGCAGAGGAGGGAAGAAGCUGGCUUUUGCCUCCUACAAGGUGUGCAAUGCAGUAAGAGGUGCAUCGGCUAGCCAGAACAUUUUGGCCAGCGACUGCGAGGCAGUUAUUAAAAACUGGCUGAAGUGCAGCGGUGACCGGAGUGGAGGAAGAAAGAGGAGAGAAAGCAGAGUGCAUGAAGGUAUGCAUGAACAGCAAACAAUCAAAUACUGGAAAUGAGACUUGCAUAGCUUUCUCUUGAAGCGUUUGCAAUGCGUUCGAAUGCACUAAAAUAGGAAUCGACCUCAGUUUCACGAAACGUGGGUACUAAAACAAUAUGCUUGCCGAUAUCAAACGCUUUACCGAGUGCCGGAGUUGGUGACGAUGAGAUAGCCUCGGCAGAUGCCCUCAGCGCAUGCACCUCCUUCUGGGACUCGAGCUCAAGUCGUCUCAACUGGACCGCUUUGUCAGCUUCAAUUUCCAGCUUCUUAAUUUCCAGCUGGAACUGUGCUUGCCUAUUCUCGGCCUUUUCCUGAGCUUCUAGUUGGAGGCAGG
ensembl:lncRNA